UUCAGUGUCACUAAUGAUCAGUCACAACAUCACACGUGAGUCUCCAUAUCCUCCUCUGUAGGUUUUUCUGUGUCCUACCAAACACACAUCAGUUUUCUCACAUCACAAUCUGUGUGUGGAGUUCACUUCACUUCACUGACGGAAGGAAGUAGAAAAUAUGUCUUUGUCUUAUAUUCUUCUCAUUUGUGAGUAUUCAAWUAUUUUGGUCUUUGGAUCAAUAUCUCUUUACACCGAUUUUAAGUUUUGGUAAUAUGUUACUUAAUGUAUGCUUUAUAACUUGUUCUAAGUAUGUAUGACACUUUAUUAUGCUUUAUAGUAAGGCUUGUAAAAUGUCUCACUAAGUUGUUUUUACCUUGUUCGAAGAUGUUGCRGGUGUUGCGGUAAAAGAAAGUUGUGCAGAUUCAGUUCCCACUCCCACUAUUGUAWUUUCCUCUGGGUACAUCAAUGUAGCUACACCUGUUACAGUACGCUGUGAGUCAKCAGAAGGCACAGAMUGCCAUUUCAACAGAGAUCAUGACCCCAAACCUAUAAGAAAAGUGGAUUACAAGCAGGGUGCUUGCCAGUUCAAGUUGUUAUGGAAUGAGUUCAAAAAGUGGAACAAGACUGAAGUAGACCUCAGCUGUGUAAUUCUACAGAACAGAGAAGGAGAAACGAUCAAAACCUCAAAUCCUAGUAAUGCUCGAAGACUUUAUGUGUGUGAUCCAAUUGGAAAGCCCAGAGUUAAUGUGGAGAAGAUUGUGAAUUACCUCAAUCUUCGAUGUGAGGCCAAGGCUGGCACCUCAUGCUACUUUUAUCUGAACAAUGGUGARUCACACUUUAAAAAACWYCCCUACAAAGACAAUGUCUGUMUGGGGAGAGUGGCAGA